UUGGCAAAUCUGAUCAAGCAUAUUUGGUC
rnacentral:piRNA from 1 species